UGAACGCUAGCGGCGCGCUUAAUGCAUGCAAGUCGAGCGAUGAGACUCCUACGGGAGCACAUCAGCGGCAGACGGGUGAGUAACACGUAGAUGACGUACCCCCAAGACGGGGAUAACGGAUGGAAACAUGCGCUAAUACCGGAUGACCUUACGAUGUCAGAAUGGUAAGGAAAGCUACGGCGCUUGAGGAGCGGUCUGCGGCCCAUCAGCUAGUUGGUAGGGUAAAGGCCUACCAAGGCGAAGACGGGUAGGGGGUGUGAGAGCACGGCCCCCCACAAUGGGACUGAGACACGGCCCAUACUCCUACGGGAGGCAGCAGCAGGGAAUAUUGCACAAUGGACGGAAGUCUGAUGCAGCGACGCCGCGUGAGUGAAGAAGGCCUUCGGGUUGUAAAACUCUUUUGAGGGGGAAGAGCGAGGACGGUACCCCUGGAAUAAGCGUCGGCUAACUACGUGCCAGCAGCCGCGGUAAGACGUAGGACGCGAGCGUUAUCCGGAUUUACUGGGCGUAAAGCGUCUGUAGGCGGAUGUGUAAGUUGGGCGUGAAAGCUCCGGGCUUAACCCGGAGAGGCCGUUCAAUACUGCAUAACUUGAGGGUGUCAGAGGGGAGCGGAAUUCCCGGUGUAGCGGUAAAAUGCGCAGAGAUCGGGAGGAACACCAGUGGCGGAGGCGGUUCCCUGGGGCACACCUGACGCUGAGAGACGAAAGCUAGGGGAGCGAACAGGAUUAGAGACCCUGGUAGUCCUAGCCCUAAACGAUGAAUGCUAGGUGUGGGAUCGAAUGGUUCCGUGCCGGAGCGAACGCGAUAAGCAUUCCGCCUGGGGAGUACGGCCGGAAGGUUAAAACUCAAACGAAUUGACGGGGCCCCGCACAAGCAGCGGAGCGUGUGG
rnacentral:rRNA from 1 species